rnacentral:rRNA from 1 species
UGGGGAAUUUUGCACAAUGGAGGAAACUCUGAUGCAGCGACGCCGCGUGAGUGAUGAAGAUCCUCGGAUUGUAAAACUCUGUCCUUAGUGAAGAUAAUGACAGUAACUAAGAAGCAAGCCCUGGCUAAAUACGUGCCAGCAGCCGCGGUAAUACGUAUGGGGCAAGCGUUGUCCGGAAUUAUUGGGCGUAAAGGGUACGUAGGCGGUUUAAUAAGUCCUAAUUAAAAGGCUAUGGCUCAACCAUAGUAUGGUUAGGAAACUGUUGAACUUGAGUAGAUGAGGGGAAAGUGGAAUUCCAUGUGUAGCGGUGAAAUGCGUAGAUAUAUGGAGGAACACCAAUGGCGAAGGCAACUUUCUGGAAUCAAACUGACGCUGAGGUACGAAGGCGUGGGGAGCAAACAGG